UGAGGAAUAUUGGUCAAUGGACGGAAGUCUGAACCAGCCAAGUAGCGUGCAGGAUGACGGCCCUAUGGGUUGUAAACUGCUUUUGUAUGGGGAUAAAGUUAGGGACGUGUCCCUAUUUGCAGGUACCAUAUGAAUAAGGACCGGCUAAUUCCGUGCCAGCAGCCGCGGUAAUACGGAAGGUUCAGGCGUUAUCCGGAUUUAUUGGGUUUAAAGGGAGCGUAGGCUGGAGAUUAAGUGUGUUGUGAAAUGUAGACGCUCAACGUCUGACUUGCAGCGCAUACUGGUUUCCUUGAGUACGCACAACGUUGGCGGAAUUCGUCGUGUAGCGGUGAAAUGCUUAGAUAUGACGAAGAACUCCGAUUGCGAAGGCAGCUGACGGGAGCGCAACUGACGCUUAAGCUCGAAGGUGCGGGUAUCAAACAGGAUUAGAUACCCUGGUAGUCCGCACAGUAAACGAUGGAUGCCCGCUGUUGGUACCUGGUAUCAGCGGCUAAGCGAAAGCAUUAAGCAUCCCACCUGGGGAGUACGCCGGCAACGGUG
rnacentral:rRNA from 1 species